AGUAGAAUGGCUGAGAUAAAUAAGGUAAUAAAUUGUAAAUUUAUUUAGGAGUUAUUAACUCUUCUACUA
rnacentral:tRNA from 1 species